rnacentral:rRNA from 1 species
ACGUACACUCCUACGGGAGGCAGCAGUGGGGAAUAUUGGACAAUGGGCGCAAGCCUGAUCCAGCCAUGCCGCGUGAGUGAUGAAGGCCCUAGGGUUGUAAAGCUCUUUCACCGGUGAAGAUAAUGACGGUAACCGGAGAAGAAGCCCCGGCUAACUUCGUGCCAGCAGCCGCGGUAAUACGAAGGGAGCUAGCGUUGUUCGGAUUUACUGGGCGUAAAGCGCACGUAGGCGGACUAUUAAGUCAGGGGUGAAAUCCCGGGGCUCAACCCCGGAACUGCCUUUGAUACUGGUAGUCUUGAGUUCGAGAGAGGUGAGUGGAAUUCCGAGUGUAGAGGUGAAAUUCGUAGAUAUUCGGAGGAACACCAGUGGCGAAGGCGGCUCACUGGCUCGAUACUGACGCUGAGGUGCGAAAGCGUGGGGAGCAAACAGGAGUAGAAACCCGAGUAGUCCCAUGA